CCGAGUGUUUAAGACGGACAUAGAGCUGGAGGUUCUGCACUACACCAAUAAAAUCUCCAGUGAGACCCACUGUGAGAUUGAUUUCUAUAAUUAUAUGGAAGCAUGUGAAAACCCUACCAUUUCCAAGGAUCUGACCAACAAUUACAGCAGGAAAUGUGGUCAUCUAAUUUAACUCUUAAACAUCAUCAGCAAGACUAAAAGCUUGGAUGCAUCCCAAUUAUCCCCACAAAUUAAUGGUCAGACAUUCUGGAUUUUCAUGGUUUUGGCUUCAGAAAAUUCUAAGUCUAGAAAGCAGCUGUUUCUAUGGGUAUCCCAAAGAAGAAAACUGCUACAUGAAACAAGAGCAAACUGUGGUCUCAUCUGCACAUUUGCAGAGUAGCAUCAGAUCCAUGGAGAUGCUGCUCACUGAAAAAGUAACACCCAUUGUGUUGGACCUCACCUACGUGACCUUUCCGGGGCAUAGUCUGGAAGGACAUGGAAAAUUAAAAGAGAAGUUAAACACUGCACAAUUAAGUGAGAAGAACUUUGAAUCUCAAUGAAUAACUCAGGCAAGACAAUAGGAAGAGAAUGGAGAUAAGGAGAAGGUAUGAGCUACAAGAAGGAAGGUCAGCCCUCCGCCAAACCAGCAAGAUAUUCCCUGUGGUGAAGAAUGGCUGAUGAAUUUCAGCACAAAGCUAUCUAAUGUUCAGUUUCAAGUUGCUAUCUACAUGAUGCUAUGCCAUCAUCCCUCCAUUACUGCAAAGCUUCAGUAAAAGAGAGAAAGAAAGUUAACAGCAGAAAUGAGGAGCAAUAUUUAGGAAGCAUAACGGGGCAUAAAGACAUGUAAACUCUACAAAAUUACACAGGGCUUAGGAGGAGAACUCAGCUUUCAGUUUGAUGGUGAAAUAUUAGUUAAACACAUCAUCCCCAAAGGGAUGUAUUUGCAUCUUCUAUGAACGAUGAUGGAAACAGUCUCAGUUUAUCAGCAAGAUGGCUGAGGAUGCACUUACCUAAAUGAGCAAUGAAGAUUCAUCUGCUACAGCUGAACUGUAUUUGCAUAGGCUAACUUAUUGAGAAGGAAAAUUCUGGAAUAUAAAGGAGAGAAGGCUGAAAAGUGAAGGGUGCAACCUAAGACUCUGACCAGUGACUAGGAGUUUUCCAGAGGAGGAAGAACGGGAAAGGCAUUUCAGGAAAAGGCCAGCAUGAACACGCAUAUGAAGCUGCACGCAGGUGCAGAAAAAGGGAGUGGCAGCCUAUUUUUUCUGACUGUAAAAUGGACUACAAGAGAAAAUUCCUGCUCAGAGGGUGCCCUCUCUUGACCCACUUCUCCACCGUGGGAGAAGUGAUGGAAUUCUACUUGGAGAUCGACCCUGUUACCUUGAACCUGAUCAUCCUAGUUGCGAGCUACGUCAUCUUGCUCCUGGUCUUCCUCAUCUCCUGCGUGCUAUACGACUGCCGAGGCAAGGAUCCCAGUAAGGAGUACGCGCCCGAGGCCACUCUCGAGGCCCAGCCCUCCAUCCGGUUGGUGGUGAUGCACCCAAGUGUCGCUGGGCCCCACUGGCCAAAGGGGCCUGGCCUUUCUUUGGGGGAUCCUGCUCCACUAGGAAAGAAAAGCACCAUGGUAUGAGGCUGGCUAAGGGACACUGGGGAGAGACCACUAGACUUUCCAUAGAGACAAACUGCUCCCUAUCGUGGCUCCAAUUCUCUCAGCACAUGUAUCCCGCUUGAUGAAGGAAGUGAGAGCUCUGUCUUACUUGCUGUUUUCUCGUCACCUUCUUUGUGACAAAAGUAACUG
rnacentral:lncRNA from 1 species